AGCUCCAAUAGCGUAUAUUAAAGUUGUUGCGGUUAAAAAGCUCGUAGUUGGAUUUUAGUUCAUGUGGGACGGUGCGCCCUCGGCGAUUACUGUCCCACCGAGCAAUAGCAGGCUCGCACGUUGUGCCCUUAACUGGGUGCUUCGCGUGGCCUUCAUGUUUACUUUGAAAAAAUUAGAGUGCUCAAAGCAGGCCCAUCGCCUGAAUAGUCUUGCAUGGAAUGAUGUAAUAGGACCUCGGUUCUAUUUUGCUGGUUUUCGGAACCCGAGGUAAUGAUUAAUAGAGACGGACGGGGGCAUUCGUAUUGCGACGCUAGAGGUGAAAUUCUUGGACCGUCGCAAGACGUACUACUGCGAAAGCAUUUGCCAAGAACGUUCUCA
rnacentral:rRNA from 1 species